rnacentral:rRNA from 1 species
UACGAAGGGGGCUAGCGUUGCUCGGAAUCACUGGGCGUAAGGGUGCGUAGGCGGGUCUUUAAGUCAGGGGUGAAAUCUCGGAGCUUAACUCCGAAACUGCAUUCGAUACUGCCGUGCUUGAGGACUGGAGAGGAGACUGGAAUUCAUGGAUGUAGCAGUGAAAUGCGUAGAGAUCAUGAGGAAGACCAGUGGCGAAGGCGGGUCUCUGGACAGUUCCUGACACUGAGAACACGAAGGACCCAGGGGGAGCAAACGGG